rnacentral:rRNA from 1 species
AAAAUAGGUCUCAGUUCGGACUGUAGGCUGCAACUCGCCUACACGAAGUUGGAAUUGCUAGUAAUCGUGGAUCAGCAUGCCACGGUGAAUACGUUCCCGGGUCUUGUACACACCGCCCGUCACACCAUGGGAGCUGGUAACACCCGAAGUCAGUAGUCUAACCGCAAGGAGGACGCUGCCGAAGGUGGGAUUAGCGACUGGGGUGAAGUCGUAACAAGGUAAC